UAUAUAUAUAUAUAUAUAUAUCAAGUAGCUGUGUAUUUUGUUCUUGAUAACAUUUAAGUCUGUGCAUUUCUCCCCCUUUCUCGUGCGUGUGACAUAAAGGUUUUAUUUUUUUUGAAUGAAAUAGGAAGUUGUCGUGUUUGAACUCUUUAUUUUCCUUUCCUCGGUUGAUACAGACCAUGCGAGGAUUUCCGGGAGAAGCACAUAGGGUUGCUCCGUUUGCGAAGAAGGAUUGGUAUGACGAUAAAGCUUCAUCUGUUAUUUAUAAUUAUGUACUUACUUUUAUCAUUAUAGUUUUAUUUUCAUUAGUGGAAUGGUCAUGUCUUGUUCAGCUUAUGUAAGUGCUUUUAUGUGUUGUCUCUUUCUGGAAUGAAACUUCGGCAUAAGUUAUUUGAGUUAAUGAGGUAACAACGGCACCACGCCACGCAUGGUGCUGUAUAAAAAUCUGAAAGCAAUCUUCGAUAAUUAAUCUGAAGUUUCAUUUUCCGCGCCAGGAUUUUUCCCUUCAGUUUAUGAUUUGUUGAUUUUAGGCAUCGCAUUUGUUUUUCUUGUGAUAUUCGGAAGAUUUUAUUUCAAUGGUACUGCUCUGUUUUUCCUACCUGGUUUGUCAUUCGUGUGUGGCUCCGAUUCACAUUUUCUUUUCCCUUUUUUUUUUUUUUCUCCUUUCUGCUUCUUUCGAGUCCCAUUAUAUGUAACGGACUAUACUUCCGGACUUAACCUCGCUCCAUACAUUAUUGUUGUGGGUGAUAUAUGGGGAAGAUGAAAUUGGCUGUUGUUUCUCUUCGGUUUACAGAAACGUUUAUCAUUUUCUUUUCUUGCAGUAAUUUUCAACUAAAUUUUCUUAUUACUUAGUGGAAAUACAUUGACUGCAGAUCUGCUCAUGUUGUCGUGUUCUAUGAUGACAUGGAAAUCUUGUCCGAUAAUCAAACUGGGAUUGCCGUAAAAGAGAAUUGACUUGUUCAAUUUGAGGCGAUGAAUAAUACGGAAGUGAAAAACGUGCAGGAUUUGGAGGAUUUGGAGGAUUUGCAGAAUGCCUUGGCAAUUCUUUAUCAGAAAAGGCAACAACUGUGUUCUCAAAUCUGCUCUAUGGAAGAUGAGUGUGCGUUAUAUGAAGAUCACAUUAAACGAACAAG